UUAAUGGUGGCCGGACAAGUGAUUUAAGGCGUCCAUUACCGACUGUGAAACGACAGAAAGAGACGGAAGCAGAACUGUCAACAACGCACGACUGAGAGGGGCUUCAAAAGCAAACUUGAGUGUGCGUGGGCAUCAUCAGCCACAAUGAGGAUUCUCAAGGUGUUCACUGUUGCCCUUGUGCUGUUUGGAACCAGCUGUCUUUCUGCAAAGAUAAAGAGACAAGUGCCAUCCAAUGCAGCUUUUACCCCAGAUGACAAUAGUCCACCUGGAUCACCUCCAGGAAGUCCACCUGGACCACCUCCAGGAAGUCCACCUGGAUCACCUCCAGGAAGUCCACCUGGACC